UGGAAUCUGCAGCUACCCAUGAAUGGAUGGGUUCUGGAUUGGCUGGAGGAUCCCCGUUGAAACAGUCCUCGUGAAGGACGAAGUGACAAUUCUUUGAACAUUGGUACCUGGGGCCAAACCCUAGUUCUUUGCAUCCGCUGCACUCAAAUGGGUUUGCUUUGUGACGUUUCAA